GAUGAACGCUGACAGAAUGCUUAACACAUGCAAGUCGAUUCAAUUUACCUUCGGGUAUUGAGGAUGGCGGACGGGUGAGUAACGCGUAAGGAACUUGCCUCUUGGUCUGGGACAACUGUUGGAAACGACAGCUAAUACCGGAUAUUAUGAGAUUCUCGCAUGGGAAACUUAUGAAAGCUAUAUGCGCCAAGAGAGAGCCUUGCGUUCCAUUAGCUAGUUGGUGGGGUAACGGCCCACCAAGGCGACGAUGGAUAGCCGGCCUGAGAGGGUGAACGGCCACAAGGGGACUGAGACACGGCCCUUACUCCUACGGGAGGCAGCAGUGGGGAAUAUUGGACAAUGGGCCACAAGCCUGAUCCAGCAAUUCUGUGUGCACGAUGAAGGUCUUCGGAUUGUAAAGUGCUUUCAGUUGGGAAGAAGAAAGUGACGGUACCAACAGAAGAAGCGACGGCUAAAUACGUGCCAGCAGCCGCGGUAAUACGUAUGUCGCAAGCGUUAUCCGGAUUUAUUGGGCGUAAAGCGCGUCUAGGCGGAAAAAUAAGUCUGAUGUUAAAAUGCGGGGCUCAACUCCGUAUUGCGUUGGAAACUGUUUUUCUAGAGUACUGGAGAGGUGGGCGGAACUACNAGUGUAGAGGUGAAAUUCGUAGAUAUUUGUAG
rnacentral:rRNA from 1 species